CGCGUGCAAGCACACACGGAGGCAAAUCGAUCGCCAUCGUGGGCAUCGAGAGUAUCGACGCAUCUGCCUGCUAUCUUCAUCAGUCUAUCUCGACCCAUUCCCGCGAGCCGUCCCCCUUCCCUCUUCAUCCGCUCGCUCCGUCUCCCGCGCUCCUGCCAUCCCCUCCGGCCACUCCGACCUUCCGUGGAGGGAGAUUCCUUGCCCGGUGGGAAUCUCAGGGCUGAUUUGAAGACUGCCGGCAAAGAUCCAUCGAGGAGGCGGCGAUUCCAUCCCGAAUCACGACAUCCGGCCUAAGCGAAGGAGCUGAAUAGGCGCGCAUCACCCUCGUCGUCCUAGCCGUCACCGGCUCCAUUUGAAUGUGCCUUAAGUUGCUAGUCCCCGAACCCUAUCCCUCCGCCGUUCUCAAGGUGCAGGUCCACCUGAUGCUACACAACUCGCCUGCCGAGCUCGACGUCCCAUCGUCGGCUUCCUCUCUCCAGGGUCCAGGCAAGUCCCCGAACCCUAUCCCUCCGCCUGUCCCUUAGAGGGGCAGGAGCAUACGUAUCAUCGUCUUUUGCAAUAACUAGUAACGGUUGCGCGCCUCGCGUGCGUGGAUAAAAAAUUGCACGCAUGGAUAAAAAGUGUACAUGGAUAAAAAUGUAAUGUAAAUGAUAAUUACAGUAUUAUGUCGUUUAGAAGAUGUGCAUACACAUUUUGCAAUUGUAGAGAUAAUUCAGUAAGCUGUUCAUACACAUUUUACAAAGGUAGAGAAGGGGCUAAUUCUGUCUUUUUCAUCUUCUGAAAUUAGUUUCUUAUAUUUACACAAUUUCUUCUAAGGUUAAACAUGAAUACAUCCAUAAUUAUACCGUGUGCAUAAAAUAAGCACCUUAGAACUUCAUAGAGUGUUCAUGUAGAAGCCUAGAAGGCAAUAUCUAGUUUUGGGAAGUUUUUUUGGUAGUUUCUUUUCGGAUGCGUAAGGGUUCUUGCUUGAACCUGUUGAUGAAUGAUCAUGAAAAAAUAGCGAGGUGCUAUAAAUUUUACUUAUGGACUAUUUAGUCAGGUAGCCCAUUUCAAGAGUUUGAGAGUAUUGAGACUCUACGAAAAAGUUAUACAUAAAAAGCAUGAUAGAUGCACAUAAAUAUUAAUUUAAAUUCGUAAUAAGAAACAAAAACACGUGCACAGAAAUAAUAAUACCAGAAGAACAAAAUUUCUGGUUAAAUGCCAACAACAACAACAAUGUGAUCUUUUAACUACAUAUUGAAAUUUUCCUGUCAAGCAUUGAAUGUGUACAACAGUGAGCGCUUGCUUUGAAGCGAUAUCCGUAUAUAUAGCAUCACACAACGCAUACAAAUACAUUACACACUCAGUAAGCUAGUGAAUCAUAGUAUGAUGUUGCACGUGGAUUUGGUACGUUUUUUUUGUUGGGUUUCUUACAAAAGGUCUUCAUUAUUUCAGUGUAUAGAAACUUUUGAAAGUGAGUGUAUACUACACUGUUUGAGAUUGUUAUAUACUUCCUUGUGUUGUAACUUUGAUUGACUUAAUAUAAAGGAGAAAAUAUGUUUUAGUGUAUUAGGAUUGUGUUUCUAGUUUAUUCUGAGUCGGUUUGUAGCAUAUUUUUUUAGCUGGUUACAGUUUAUAGCAUAUUAAAGCUUUGUAUUGUUUGCACUGUGACAUAUACCUCAGUAGUUGAGCAUUAUUGAAUAUAUGCUGCCAUGGUGUCAUUCAAGUACCUUUUCUUCAUUGAUUGUAUAUGUAUUGUCUUUUUAUCUACCCAAUGGGCAUGGUAACGUAGAUAAGGAAACCAUACCUGAUAUCCUUGAAGUUGCAGUUUCAGUAGAAGGGAUUUACAAUGUUUCUAUAUGAUGAAUGGGACUGCGAAAUUAAGAAGUGAAUCUUUCUAUGCGUUGGCAGAUAAACUGAGCAGUGAGGGGUCUUGAUGGUAGCAGAGUAGGUCCUUGCUGUGUUGGAAGGUAAACUAAGCAGUGAGGGGUCCUGACGUAUGCAGAGAGCAUUGAGAAAAGGCACAUGAGGGGCAGUAAGAGGACAACAGGUCCUACUGUUGUUGGAAAAUAAAUUGAGCAGGUGCUCGUGGCGGCUAUAGAAAAAGGCACGAGGGGCGGCUAGAGGAGAGCAGUUCCUGGUGUGCGUUGGAGAGUGUUAAUUACCUGUGUGUGUACCUGAGGCCUUUAGUUGUACACCACGCCUUUGGAGGUUUCUAUCGUCCUAAUUAAUCGACCCAUAGGUGGUAGGCGGCUUGGUUGCUAUUUGUACAUUACUUUUGGAGGCCGCUGGUUGUAUAUAUGUGACAAUGUUUGGAAAGUGUUGAACAUUUCUUA